AUGGGGUGACUGCGUACCUUUUGUAUAAUGGGUCAGCGACUUAUAUUCUGUAGCAAGGUUAACCGUAUAGGGGAGCCGUAGGGAAACCGAGUCUUAACUGGGCGAAUGAGUUGCAGGGUAUAGACCCGAAACCCGGUGAUCUAUCCAUGGGCAGGUUGAAGGUUGGGUAACACUAACUGGAGGACCGAACCGACUAAUGUUGAAAAAUUAGCGGAUGACUUGUGGAUGGGGGUGAAAGGCCAAUCAAACCGGGAGAUAGCUGGUUCUCCCCGAAAGCUAUUUAGGUAGCGCCUCGUGAACUCAUCUUCGGGGGUAGAGCACUGUUUCGACUAGGGGGUCAUCCCGACUUACCAACUCGAUGCAAACUGCGAAUACCGAAGAAUGUUAUCACGGGAGACACACGGCGGGUGCUAACGUCCGUCGUGAAGAGGGAAACAACCCAGACCGCCAGCUAAGGUCCCAAAGUCAUGGUUAAGUGGGAAACGAAGUGGGAAGGCUCAGACAGCCAGGAUGUUGGCUUAGAAGCAGCCAUCAUUUAAAGAAAGCGUAAUAGCUCACUGGUCGAGUCGGCCCGCGCGGAAGAUGUAACGGGGCUAAACCAUGCACCGAAGCUGCGGCAGCGACACAUAGUGUUGUUGGGUAGGGGAGCGUUCUGUAAGCCUGCGAAGGUGUACUGUGAGGUAUGCUGGAGGUAUCAGAAGUGCGAAUGCUGACAUAAGUAACGAUAAUGCGGGUGAAAAACCCGCACGCCGGAAGACCAAGGGUUCCUGUCCAACGUUAAUCGGGGCAGGGUGAGUCGACCCCUAAGGCGAGGCUGAAAAGCGUAGUCGAUGGGAAACGGGUUAAUAUUCCCGUACUGGUGGUAACUGCGAUGGGGGAACGGAGAAGGCUAGGUUGUCCGGGCGACGGUCGUCCCGGUUCAAGCAGGUAGGCAGAGUGAUUAGGCAAAUCCGGUCACUUAAUGCUGAGAUGUGAUGACGAACCACCAAGGUGGUGAAGCAAUUGAUGCCCCGCUUCCAGGAAAAGCCUCUAAGCUUCAGGUUACCAACAAUCGUACCCCAAACCGACACAGGUGGUCAGGUAGAGAAUACUCAGGCGCUUGAGAGAACUCGGGUGAAGGAACUAGGCAAAAUGGUGCCGUAACUUCGGGAGAAGGCACGCUGGCGGUAGGUAAAGUCCCUCGCGGACGGCGCUGAAGCCAGUCGAAGAUACCAGCUGGCUGCAACUGUUUAUUAAAAACACAGCACUGUGCAAACACGAAAGUGGACGUAUACGGUGUGACGCCUGCCCGGUGCUGGAAGGUUAAUUGAUGGGGUCAGCCGUAAGGCGAAGCUCCUGAUCGAAGCCCCAGUAAACGGCGGCCGUAACUAUAACGGUCCUAAGGUAGCGAAAUUCCUUGUCGGGUAAGUUCCGACCUGCACGAAUGGCGUAAUGAUGGCCAGGCUGUCUCCACCCGAGACUCAGUGAAAUUGAACUCGCUGUGAAGAUGCAGUGUACCCGCGGCAAGACGGAAAGACCCCGUGAACCUUUACUAUAGCUUGACACUGAACAUUGAGCCUUGAUGUGUAGGAUAGGUGGGAGGCUUUGAAGUGUGGACGCCAGUCUGCAUGGAGCCAACCUUGAAAUACCACCCUUUAACGUUUGAUGUUCUAACCUAGGCCCAUAAACUGGGUCGGGGACCGUGUCUGGUGGGUAGUUUGACUGGGGCGGUCUCCUCCUAAAGAGUAACGGAGGAGCACGAAGGUUGGCUAAGCAUGGUCGGACAUCAUGCGGUUAGUGCAAAGGCAUAAGCCAGCUUGACUGCGAGAGUGACGGCUCGAGCAGGUACGAAAGUAGGUCUUAGUGAUCCGGUGGUUCUGAAUGGAAGGGCCAUCGCUCAACGGAUAAAAGGUACUCCGGGGAUAACAGGCUGAUACCGCCCAAGAGUUCAUAUCGACGGCGGUGUUUGGCACCUCGAUGUCGGCUCAUCACAUCCUGGGGCUGAAGUAGGUCCCAAGGGUAUGGCUGUUCGCCAUUUAAAGUGGUACGCGAGCUGGGUUUAGAACGUCGUGAGACAGUUCGGUCCCUAUCUGCCGUGGGCGUUGGAAGAUUGAGAGGGGUUGCUCCUAGUACGAGAGGACCGGAGUGAACGCACCACUGGUGUUCGGGUUGUCAUGCCAAUGGCAUUGCCCGGUAGCUAAGUGCGGAAGAGAUAACCGCUGAAAGCAUCUAAGCGGGAAACUUGCCUCGAGAUGAGUCUUCCCUGUCGCUUUAAGCGACCUAAAGGAACGUUUAAGACUAAGACGUUGAUAGGCUGGGUGUGUAAGCGUAGCGAUACGUUGAGCUAACCAGUACUAAUGAACCGUGAGGCUUAACCUG
rnacentral:rRNA from 1 species